UGCUGCAUGGCUGUCGUCAGCUCGUGUCGUGAGAUGUUGGGUUAAGUCCCGCAACGAGCGCAACCCUUUGCUUUAAUUGCCAUCAUUCAGUUGGGCACUUUAAAGAGACUGCCGGUGUUUAAACCGGAGGAAGGUGGGGAUGACGUCAAGUCCUCAUUGGCCCUUAUGCCCAGGGCUACACACGUGCUACAAUGGGCGGUACAAAGGGUAGCGAUGCCGCGAGGUGAAGCCAAUCCCAAAAAGCCGUCCACAGUUCGGAUUGGAGUCUGCAACUCGACUCCAUGAAGCCGGAAUCGCUAGUAAUCGUGGAUCAGCAUGCCACGGUGAAUACGUUCCCGGGCCUU
rnacentral:rRNA from 1 species